rnacentral:Y_RNA from 1 species
GGCUUGUCCAAAGGUAGUGAGUGAUCGAAAGUGACUGUUCACACUAAGUUAUAGAUCGAACUCCUUGUUCUACUGUUUUCCCCCUUCUCACUACUGCACUUGACUAGUCUUUA